GACAUUUUCAAGUUUGACUGCCAGUAUUUUUAAACUUCAAGAAAAACAAUGUCCAAAAGUUGGUGUGUGAAUACACAAAGUAAGCGCACCCCGUGGGUUUUCUCUAGUGAGCCAGUGAUGCCAGGUCCUAAUGGCCCUUCAAACUCUCUGCCGAGGAGGGAGUGCUGGCCUUCUCCAGGUGUGAGUGUCAGGGGAUAUGGAGGUCUGUUUAGCCUAACCCUUACGGAGACCAGGGGUGACCCCUCCAGAAAUCUCAGGAUGCUCAUCAGAGGGGUAUACCAUGGGAUCUAUCCCCUGCAGAGUGUGCAUAGCAGACCUCCAGUGGCUCUCAGUUCCCACCAAGAGCACUCACUCCAUACCAAGACCACGUACGAACAGGUGUCAUCGAUGGAAGUCGCCUUGGAAAGGC
rnacentral:lncRNA from 1 species